AUUCCCUUACGCCGUUGCCAUUGCCUCCACACUGCAAAGUUUCAACACUAUGCCUCCACAAGUUGCUGUUUUGUGACCUCAAUUGUGGCUGAGCCAUAGCUGGACUUGACAAGCGUGCCCAAUGGUAGUAUCUCUCUCUGUUGGUCUGUUUUGGCCCUUUUGGGUUUCUCGUUUCUGUAGUUAGUUUAGGAUUUUGCGUUUAGUUGUUUAUUGACUACUUUAUUGAUUUUGACUACUUUAUUUAUAUUUGUAAUAUAUUGAUAUAUUUUAUUAUGUUUAUUAUAUUUACAGAGUGGUUAGCGCUAGCAUGAUUUAUAAUUUACAAUUUGUAUUUUAUUUUUCAAAUUUCAUAAUGGUGGGCGCUGGCUUGUUAUGGUUUAUUUGAUAAAUUUUUUUGAGUAUUUGUAUAUAUAUAAUUAUAUUUGAACAACUAGCAGUCUAAUUAUUUUAUAGAUACGAAUUUACACCUUAGUUGCUUGGUUUUAUCUGACUGCACGUAAGGAAAUUACUAAAAAUUACUAAAAAAUCACUUUAGAAUCAAUUAUAAAUUGUCAGAAAGUCUUAUUGUUCAAUAAAUAUUUGUUAGUGUUUUCAACACAGUCUAAAGCUCAAAUCUUUCAUCCCCAACUAUUGAAUUGCCAAAUUAUAAAUAAUCAGUUAUAAAUUAUUUUGGUAUAGCACCCAAAAACAUAAGCCAAAACUUUAGAAUUAAUUUUUAUUUUUGAAAUAAAACUUUUUUUUUUUAGUUAUGAAACAUUUUUCAUACUUAGCUUGGGCCCCCUAGGAAAAAUUUAUGGCUCUGCCAUUGCCUAGUUGACUACCUCCCAACAAGACUUAGGAUUAUUGAAGGGGCAGCAGAUCAUCACUUAGGUGAUCUCUGCUUUCCAAUUAGAUUAUGCAACAAAAACACACUAGGAGCCCCUAUUGUAGUCCCAUUGCAACAAUCUGUCCCAGGUAGACAAACUAUUGUUGAACACAAGCCAACCAAUAACCACAUGCUUGCACACAACUAAAGGAAACUAGACUAUUUCCCAAUAUGGAGUUUCUUGCUUCUUCAAUCUAACUACAUUCCAGUCUUCAAUAGAAUCAAAUUUUCUUGAUUAGGAUGGCAACCACAGAAACUGAAGAACUUUACCACCAACUUCAACCAAGCUUAUCAGGCCUUGAUGUACAUUUUCAGAUUGUAAUUAAAAAAAAAAAAUGUGAAAUAUACUCUUUCUAAUAUAUACAUGAUUUGGUGCCUGAGAUACUUUGUAAUAUUGUGCUUGGAAUGAUCAAUGAAAAUCAUCGAUUGAAGAUAUUUUAAAUGAUGAAUAACUUGUUUAUAUCUUAACUUGUAAUGAAUUUAGAUGUCUUUAUAUGCUUUUGCAUGAUAUAGAUGGCUUGUUAUAGGCGUGAGGAAUCUACCCCAGUAGUCUAGCAUAUCGGCACAUCAUCAAGCACACAUCUUGGUGGAGAUUCUCUUGCCCAAAUUUCUACUAAUGUAAAGGCACAGGUUGUGGGCACACCGUCUAUCACAAAUGCAUCGACUAAUAGACGUGCCUAUGGCAUGAUGCAUGGAUUAGGGGUACGAGGACUUGUUGAGAAACAUAGGAAGCUACCGGUCCUCAUUGCCCCAAAGUUUUGUGCUCCUGUUGGUGAACAUGCAUGAAAAUUUGCUAGCCAAAUUGGUGUACACAUGCGUAUGAACUUGUCCACUAUGAAUGCUUAUAGUUGGAAGAAUGUUGAUAGCAGUGAAAAAGAGGCAAUCAUUCAAAAUGUGGUGAAAGUCUCAGCAAGAAACGGAAAUAAAGAGGGAAUGCUUGACAAACACAUUCAUAGAUGUGGAAACAAGUCACUUGCAGUUAGGGUGGAUGAGGCGAAAUGGAAUUGGUGGCAGAAAGAUAGCUUUUGUGGGACUACUUGAACUAAAAUAAUUUUUUGUAAAGUUUGGAAGUUAAGACAUCAUUUGUAUAUAAAUGGUUGUAACUUUGUGAACUUCUUUAUUGCAUUUUUAGAUUGUAUGGAUGUAUUUUUUAUGGAUUUGGUUAGAAAUG